GACGAACGCUGGCGGCGUGCUUAACACGUGCAAGUCGAACGGUGAAGGGGCCUGCUUUUGUGGGCCCUGGAUGAGUGGCGAACGGGUGAGUAACACGUGAGUAACCUGCCCCCUUCUUCUGGAUAACCGCAUGAAAGUGUGGCUAAUACGGGAUAUUCUGGGUCUGUCGCAUGAUGGGUCUGGGAAAGAUUGCGCCUUUGGGUGUUUUUGGUGGGGGAUGGGCUCGCGGCCUAUCAGCUUGUUGGUGGGGUGAUGGCCUACCAAGGCGGUGACGGGUAGCCGGCCUGAGAGGGUGGACGGUCACACUGGGACUGAGACACGGCCCAGACUCCUACGGGAGGCAGCAGUGGGGAAUAUUGCACAAUGGGCGCAAGCCUGAUGCAGCGACGCCGCGUGAGGGAUGGAGGCCUUCGGGUUGUAAACCUCUUUCGCCAGUGAAGCAGGCCUGCUCCUUGUGGGUGGGUUGACGGUAGCUGGAGAAGAAGCGCCGGCUAACUACGUG
rnacentral:rRNA from 1 species